UACGUAGGUGGCAAGCGUUGUCCGGAAUUACUGGGCGUAAAGCGUGCGCAGGCGGCGCGUUUAAGACAGGUGUGAAAGCCCCGAGCUUAACUUGGGAAUUGCGCUUGUGACUGGCGUGCUGGAGUGUGGCAGAGGGAGGUGGAAUUCCACGUGUAGCAGUGAAAUGCGUAGAGAUGUGGAGGAACACCGAUGGCGAAGGCAGCCUCCUGGGCCAGCACUGACGCUCAUGCACGAAAGCGUGGGGAGCAAACAGG
rnacentral:rRNA from 1 species